rnacentral:rRNA from 1 species
UACAGAGGGGGCAAGCGUUAUUCGGAAUUAUUGGGCGUAAAGGGCGCGUAGGCGGCUUUGCAAGUGACGGGUGAAAUCCCUCGGCUUAACCGAGGAACUGCCUGUCAGACUGCAUGGCUCGAGACCAGGAGAGGUGAGUGGAAUUCCCAGUGUAGCGGUGAAAUGCGUAGAUAUUGGGAGGAACACCAGUGGCGAAGGCAGGUCUCUGGGCCAUAACUGACGCUGAGAAGCGAAAGCAUGGGGAGCGAACAGG